UAAGUCCGACUGCAGCCACUGGGCGAAACGCCUGGGAAGGAGGUCGGGCAGGUCCGCAAGGACCGGCUCCUGAGCCCGGAAACCAGCCACAAGCUAUGACUCUGA
rnacentral:ncRNA from 2 species